CAUGGCUUCUAGAGAAAAAUAAUGAGGGGUGUCACGGGGUAUGACUAUAUAGGUCUUGUAGAAGAGAAACAGGCGCAUCUUUUGCGCAAGGUAUCGAAGAGCGCUAUGUUCAAAAAUCUGAAACUAGAGCUCUAAAUUUAAAAAAAAAAAUGGUAAAAACAGGGGGGUUGGCCUAUUCCAUGGCUUCUAGAUAAAAAUAAUGAGGGGUGUCACGGGGUAUGACUAUAUAGGUCUUGUAGAGGAGAAACAGGCGCAUCUUUUGUGCAAGGUAUCGAAGGGCGCUAUGUUCAAAAAUCUGAAACUAGAGCUCAAAAUAAAAAAAAAAAUGUAAAAAACAGGGGGGUUGGUCUAUUCCAUGGCUUCUAGAGAAAAAUAAUGAGGGGUGUCACGGGAUAUGACUAUAUAGGUCUUGUAGAGGAGAAAGAGGCGCAUCUUUUGCGCAAGGUAUCGAAGGGCGCUAUGUUCAAAAAUCUGAAACAAGAGCUCAAAAUUAAAAAAAAAAAUGUUAAAAACAGGGGGGUUGGCCUAUUCCAUGGCUUCUAGAGAAAAAUAAUGAGGGGUGUCACGGGGUAUGACUAUAUAGGUCUUGAAGAGGAGAAACAGGCGCAUCUUUUGCGCAAGGUAUCGAAGGGCGCUAUAUUCAAAAAUCUGAAACUAGAGCUCAAAAUUUAAAAAAAAAAUGUUAAAAACAGGGGGUUGGCCUAUUCCAUGGCUUCUAGAGAAAAAUAAUGAGUGGUGUCACGGGGUAUGACUAUAUAGGUCUUGUAGAGGAGAAACAGGCGCAUCUUUUGCGCUAGGUAUCGAAGGGCGCUAUGUUCAAAAAUCUGAAACUAGAGCUCAAAAUUAAAAAAAAAAAUGUUAAAAACAGGGGGUUGGCCUAUUCCAUGGCUUCUAGAGAAAAAAAAUGAGGGGUGUCACGGGGUAUGACUAUAUAGGUCUUGAAGAGGAGAAACAGGCGCAUCUUUUGCGCAAGGUAUCGAAGGGCGCUAUGUUCAAAAAUCUGAAACUAGAGCUCAAAAUUAAAAAAAAAAUGUUAAAAACAGGGAGGUUGGCCUAUUCCAUGGCUUCUAGAGAAAAAUAAUGAGGGGUGUCACGGGGUAUGACUAUAUAAGUCUUGUAGAGGAGAAACAGGCGCAUCUUUUGCGCAAGGUAUCGAAGGGCGCUAUGUUCAAAAAUCUGAAACUAGAGCUCAAAAUUAAAACAAAAAAAUGUUAAAAACAGGGAGGUUGGCCUAUUCCAUGGCUUCUAGAGAAAAAAAAUGAGGGGUGUCACGGGAUAUGAUUAUAUAGGACUUGUAGAGGAGAAACAGGCGCAUCUUUUGCGCAAGGUAUCGAAGGGCGCUAUGUUCAAAAAUCUUAAACUAGAGCUCAAAAUUAAAAAAAAAAAUGUUAAAAACAGGGGGGUUGGCCUAUUCCAUGGCUUCUAGAGAAAAAUAAUGAGGGGUGUCACGGGGUAUGACUAUAUAGGUCUUGUAGAAGAGAAACAGGCGCAUCUUUUGUGCAAGGUAUCGAAGGGCGCUAUAUUCAAAAAUCUGAAACUAGAGCUCAAAGUUUAAAAAAAAAUGUUAAAAACAGGGGGGUUGGCCUAUUCCAUGGCUUCUAGAGAAAAAUAAUGAGGGGUGUCACGGGGUAUGACUAUAUAGGUCUUGUCGAGGAGAAACAGGCGCAUCUUUUGCGCAAGGUAUCGAAGGGUGCUAUGUUCAAAAAUCUGAAACUAGAACUCAAAAUUUAAAAAAAAAUUGUUAAAAACAGGGGGGUUGGCCUAUUCCAUGGCUUCUAGAGAAAAAUAAUGAGGGGUGUCACGGGGUAUGACUAUAUAGGUCUUGUAGAAGAGAAACAGGCGCAUCUUUUGUGCAAGGUAUCGAAGGGCGCUAUAUUCAAAAAUCUGAAACUAGAGCUCAAAAUUUAAAAAAAAAAUGUUAAAAACAGGGGGUUGGCCUAUUCCAUGGCUUCUAGAGAAAAAUAAUGAGGGGUGUCACGGGGUAUGACUAUAUAGGUCUUGUAGAGGAGAAACAGGCGCAUCUUUUGCGCUAGGUAUCGAAGGGCGCUAUGUUCAAAAAUCUGAAACUAGAGCUCAAAAUUAAAAAAAAAAUGUUAAAAACAGGGAGGUUGGCCUAUUCCAUGGCUUCUAGAGAAAAAUAAUGAGGGGUGUCACGGGGUAUGACUAUAUAAGUCUUGUAGAGGAGAAACAGGCGCAUCUUUUGCGCAAGGUAUCGAAGGGCGCUAUGUUCAAAAAUCUGAAACUAGAGCUCAAAAUUAAAAAAAAAAUGUUAAAAACAGGGGGGUUGGCCUAAUCCAUGGCUUCUAGAGAAAAAUAAUGAGGGGUGUCACGGGGUAUGACUAUAUAGGUCUUGUAGAAGAGAAACAGGCGCAUCUUUUGUGCAAGGUAUCGAAGGGCGCUAUAUUCAAAAAUCUGAAACUAGAGCUCAAAAUUUAAAAAAAAAAUGUUAAAAACAGGGGGGUUGGCCUAUUCCAUGGCUUCUAGAGAAAAAUAAUGAGGGGUGUCACGGGGUAUGACUAUAAAGGUCUUGUAGAGGAGAAACAGGCGCAUCUUUUGCGCAAGGUAUCGAAGGGUGCUAUGUUCAAAAAUCUGAAACUAGAGCUCAAAAUUAAAAAAAAAAAUGUUAAAAACAGGGGGUUGGCCUAUUCCAUGGCUUCUAGAGAAAAAAAAUGAGGGGUGUCACGGGGUAUGACUAUAUAGGUCUUGAAGAAGAGAAACAGGCGCAUCUUUUGCGCAAGGUAUCGAAGGGCGCUAUGUUCAAAAAUCUGAAACUAGAGCUCAAAAUUAAAAAAAAACUGUUAAAAACAGGGGGGUUGGCCUAUUCCAUGGCUUCUAGAGAAAAAUAAUGAGGGGUGUCACGGGGUAUGACUAUAUAGGUCUUGUCGAGGAGAAACAGGCGCAUCUUUUGUGCAAGGUAUCGAAGGGCGCUAUGUUCAAAAAUCUGAAACUAGAGCUCAAAAUUAAAAAAAAAAAUGUUAAAAACAGGGGGGUUGGCCUAUUCCAUGGCUUCUACAGAAAAAUAAUGAGGGGUGUCACGGGGUAUGAUUAUAUAGGACUUGUAGAGGAGAAACAGGCGCAUCUUUUGCGCAAGGUAUCGAAGGGCGCUAUGUUCAAAAAUCUGAAACUAGAGCUCAAAAUUAAAAAAAAAAUGUUAAAAACAGGGGGGUUGGCCUAUUCCAUGGCUUCUAGAGAAAAAUAAUGAGGAGUGUCACGGGGUAUGACUAUAUAGGUCUUGUAGAGGAGAAACAGGCGCAUCUUGUGCGCAAAGUAUCGAAGGGUGCUAUGUUCAAAAAUCUGAAACUAGAACUCAAAAUUAAAAAAAAAAAUGUUAAAAACAGGGGGGUUGGCCUAUUCCAUGGCUUCUAGAGAAAAAUAAUGAGGGGUGUCACGGGGUAUGACUAUAUAGGUCUUGUAGAGGAGAAACAGGCGCAUCUUUUGUGCAAAGUAUCGAAGGGCGCUAUGUUCAAAAAUCUGAAACUAGAGCUCAAAAUUUAAAAAAAAAAUGUUAAAAACAGGGGGGUUGGCCUAUUCCAUGGCUUCUAGAGAAAAAUAAUGAGGGGUGUCACGGGGUAUGACUAUAUAGGUCUUGAAGAGGAGAAACAGGCGCAUCUUUUGCGCAAGGUAUCGAAGGGCGCUAUGUUCAAAAAUCUGAAACUAGAGCUCAAAAUUUAAAAAAAAAAUGUUAAAAACAGGGAGGUUGGCCUAUUCCAUGGCUUCUAGAGAAAAAUAAUGAGGGGUGUCACGGGGUAUGAUUAUAUAGGUCUUGUAGAGGAGAAACAGGCGCAUCUUUUGCGCAAGGUAUCGAAGGGCGCUAUGUUCAAAAAUCUGAAACUAGAGCUCAAAAUUAAAAAAAAAAAAUGUUAAAAACAGGGGGGUUGGCCUAUUCCAGGGAUUCUAGAGAAAAAUAAUGAGGGGUGUCACGGGAUAUGACUAUAUAGGUCGUGUAGAGGAGAAACAGGCGCAUCUUUUGCGCAAAGUAUCGAAGGGUGCUGUGUUCAAAAAUCUGAAACUAGAGCUCAAAAUUAAAAAAAAAAUGUUAAAAACAGGGGGGUUGGCAUAUUCCAUGGCUUCUAGAGAAAAAUAAUGAGGGGUGUCACGGGGUAUGACUAUAUAGGUCUUGAAGAGGAGAAACAGGCGCAUCUUUUGCGCAAGGUAUCGAAGGGCGUUAUGUUCAAAAAUCUGAAACUAGAGCUCAAAAUUAAAAAAAGAAAUGUUAAAAACAGGGAGGUUGGCCUAUUCCAUGGCUUCUAGAGAAAAAUAAUGAGGGGUGUCACGGAGUAUGACUAUAUAAGUCUUGUAGAGGAGAAACAGGCGCAUCUUUUGCGCAAGGUAUCGAAGGGCGGUAUGUUCAAAAAUCUGAAACUAGAGCUCAAAAUUAAAACAAAAAAAUGUUAAAAACAGGGGGGUUGGCCUAUUCCAUGGCUUCUAGAGAAAAAUAAUGAGGGGUGUCACGGGGUAUGACUAUAUAGGUCUUGUAGAGAGGAAACAGGCGCAUCUUUUGCGCAAGGUAUCGAAGGACGCUAUGUUCAAAAAUCUGAAACUAGAGCUCAAAUUUUAAAAAAAAAAUGUUAAAAACAGGGGGGUUGGCCUAUUCCAUGGCUUCUAGUGAAAAAUAAUGAGGGGUGUCACGGGGUAUGACUAUAUAGGUCUUGUAGAAGAGAAACAGGCGCAUCUUUUGCGCAAGGUAUCGAAGGGCGCUAUGUUCAAAAAUCUGAAACUAGAGCUCAAAAUUAAAAAAAAAAAUGUUAAAAACAGGGGGUAAGCCUAUUCCAUGGCUUCUAGAGAAAAAUAAUGAGGGGUGUCACGGGGUAUGACUAUAUAAGUCUUGUAGAGGAGAAACAGGCGCAUCUUUUGCGCAAGGUAUCGAAGGGCGCUAUGUUCAAAAAUCUGAAACUAGUGCUCAAAAUUUAAAAAAAAAAUGUUAAAAACAGGGGGGUUGGCCUAUUCCAUGGCUUCUAGAGAAAAAUAAUGAGGGUGUCACGGGGUAUGACUAUAUAGGUCUUGUAGUUGAGAAACAGGCGCAUCUUUUGCGCAUGGUAUCGAAGGGCGCUAUUUUCCAAAAAAUUAAACUAGAGCUCAAAAUUAAAAAAACAAAAUUGUUAAAAACAGGGGGGUUGGCCUAUACCAUGGCUUCUACAGAAAAAUAAUGGUGGGUAGUAGUGUAAAAAGGGGGAUUCUGUCGCACUUGCCAUUUUUAAGCACAAAUCCUGCAUAGGGACCCCAACCUCAAACAUAAAAUGCAAAUUCAUUGUGUUUCAACUAGUCUAAGGGUAGAAACAAGAAUAUGGCUUUUUGUAAACAAUGGUAGAGACACCUUAAAGGGAUGUAAUCCUAGGGGUAGAUACAAAAAUAUGGCUUUCGUACAGAAGAUGGAGGAACUCAGAAGUUAAAAAAUCGUAGACGACGAUUUUAUUAAUGAUAAUGUUUUCAAGGGUAAAGGCAAAGGACCAGAGCCUGGAAAUUCUAAAAUGGAAGGAACUCCCAACCUGGGUAAAAUAUAAAAUCCUAGAAGUGGUAGAAGUAGAUGGGAAGUUUGGGAGGAGUAAGAUCUUCACCUUGAAAAAACAGAGAAGGAGAAACGACAAGGGUAUGGGCCUGCAGUAGUCUGAACAGAGAGAAGGAACCCUUGGAAGGAGCCUUCGUGAGAAGUACAGGCUUAAAAGUUAGUAAAAUGACUAAACAGGAGUACUUUUCUUGCGAUCUUGUAAGAAAUUAAUUAAAAAAAAAAAAAAAAUGGGUUGGAUGGGGUACAAAAAAUAUUUCCAUCCGAUAUUUCUGCCGGAUCGGAAAGUUUUGUUUUCUUUUUUGUGUUUUUUUAUGCUUGAAACGGAGCACAUCGUGAAGUGAAGCAGAACGGAACACAUCGUGAAACGAUGUGUGUAGUGAAGCGUAAUGGAAUGAUGUGUGACGUUUUUACGGCGCAUGCGCAUUAAGGUCCUCACUAAAAGUGGUGGAAGGUUGUCGCAGCUGAUCUUUCUCAUCAUAGUAGUUCUUGAGGCAGCUUGUGAUCUUACCAAACUCAGCAUCAUCAAUUUGUUCAUCAUCAGCCAAAGCAGUACUAAUACAUUGUUCAACCAAGGAUUUUGUGGACUGUGCCAAUCGCAAGGUGUCACGGUGUUUUUUCUUCUUUUUCAUGAUACGCCUUGAGAUCAGUGUGAGUACCAUCACGCCAGUGGCACUCAAGCAAGCAAGGGAUCCUAGGGGAAGGGAGGCUAUAAUACCUAUACCGGUCAAAGCUGAACCCAUGGUGCAGCUGUCAACAUCAAACUGGCUACGGAACACACACCCUGUGCUAUAGACACUACUUUAUCGAGUCGUUUGUAGAUCUUCAAGGUACGUUGACACUUUAG